AAGGAGCACCACGAGAAACACUCCAAUUGGUGGAGUGUGAGCCGUGAGGGGUUCUCGUCUGUAGUGGACGAGGGCCGGGUGCACAACAACAGGCAAUCGCCAGACACACUAUUGGGCCCUGAGACAACACUCGGCCGGCUUUGGUCGAUGUGGUGUCCCUCCAUCUUGGUGGUGGGGUGUGGUGUUUGAGUUAUUGAAUAGUGGUUGCGAGCAUCUAGUGGAUGCAUUGCCUUGUGGUGAUGUGUCCAUAUAUAUGUGUAAUUUUUCUUUUGGUUUUUGUGU
rnacentral:misc_RNA from 1 species